rnacentral:rRNA from 1 species
UACGGAGGGUGCAAGCGUUAAUCGGAAUUACUGGGCGUAAAGGGUGCGUAGGUGGUUUGAUAAGUUGUCUGUGAAAUUCCUGGGCUCAACCUGGGCAUGUCAGAUGAUACUGUUAGACUAGAGUACUGGAGAGGGUGGUGGAAUUCCUCGUGUAGCGGUGAAAUGCGUAGAGAUGAGGAGGAACACCAGUGGCGAAGGCGGCCACCUGGACAGUAACUGACGCUGAGGCGCGAAAGUGUGGGUAGCAAACAGGAUUAGAAACCCGGGUAGU